GGGUCAGUAGGUUGGUCGUGCCACCGGUACGUACUGGUCUCACUGAUUCCUCCUUCCUGAAGAACCGUAAUGCCAUUGAUUUGGUGUUGCGGGGAAACAGGACUGUUACUUUGAAAAAAUUAGAGUGUUUAAAGCAAGCUAACGCUUGAAUACAUUAGCAUGGAAUAAUGGAAUAGGACGAUCGAUCCUAUUUUGUUGGUUUCUAGGAUUGACGUA
rnacentral:rRNA from 1 species